rnacentral:rRNA from 1 species
UACGUAGGGGGCAAGCGUUGUCCGGAAUUAUUGGGCGUAAAGAGCGCGUAGGCGGUCCGGUAAGUCGGCUGUGAAAGUCAAGGGCUCAACCCUUGAAAGCCGGCCGAUACUGUCGGACUAGAGUCCGGAAGAGGCGAGUGGAAUUCCCGGUGUAGCGGUGAAAUGCGCAGAUAUCAGGAGGAACACCAAUUGCGAAGGCAGCUCGCUGGGACGUAACUGACGCUGAGACGCGAAAGCGUGGGGAGCAAACAGG